UACAGAGGUCUCAAGCGUUGUUCGGAUUCAUUGGGCGUAAAGGGUGCGUAGGUGGCGUGGUAAGUCGGGUGUGAAAUUUCGGAGCUUAACUCCGAAACUGCAUUCGAUACUGCCGUGCUUGAGGACUGGAGAGGAGACUGGAAUUUACGGUGUAGCAGUGAAAUGCGUAGAUAUCGUAAGGAAGACCAGUGGCGAAGGCGGGUCUCUGGACAGUUCCUGACACUGAGACACGAAGGCCAGGGGAGCAAACGGG
rnacentral:rRNA from 1 species